GAUUGCAGGCUGCCAACCCGCCUGCAUGAAGUCGGAAUUGUUAGUAAUCGCGGAUCAGCAUGCCGCGGUGAAUACGUUCCCGGGCCUUGUACACACCGCCCGUCACACCAUGGGAGCCGGUAAUACCCGAAGUCAGUAGUCCAACCUCGUGAGGACGCUGCCGAAGGUAGGAUUGGCGACUGGGGUGAAGUCGUAACAAGGUACC
rnacentral:rRNA from 1 species